CGCUGAGGCGCGAAAGCGUGGGGAGCAAACAGGAUUAGAUACCCUGGUAGUCCACGCCCUAAACGAUGAAUGUUAGUCGUCGGGUAGCUAGUCUAUUCGGUGAUGCAGCUAACGCAUUAAACAUUCCGCCUGGGGAGUACGGUCGCAAGAUUAAAACUCAAAGGAAUAGACGGGGACCCGCACAAGUGGUGGAGCAUGUGGUUUAAUUCGAAGAUACGCGAAGAACCUUACCUAGCCUUGACAUAUAUUAGAACACUUUAGAGAUAGAGUGGUGCCUUCGGGAGCUUUUAUACAGGUGCUGCACGGCUGUCGUCAGCUCGUGUCGUGAGAUGUUGGGUUAAGUCCCGCAACGAGCGCAACCCUCGUCACUAGUUACUAACGGUUCGGCCGAGGACUCUAGUGAGACUGCCUUCGUAAGGAGGAGGAAGGUGAGGACGACGUCAAGUCAUCAUGGCCCUUACGGCUAGGGCAACACACGUGCUACAAUGGCCAGGACAAUGAGAAGCGAUACCGCGAGGUGGAGCAAAUCUAUAAACCUGGUCUCAGUUCGGAUUGUAGUCUGCAACUCGACUACAUGAAGCUGGAAUCACUAGUAAUCGUAGAUCAGCUAUGCUACGGUGAAUACAUUCCCGGGUCUUGUACUCACCGCCCGUCACACCAUGGGAGUUGAUUUCACCCGAAGCGGGGAAGCUAAACUGGCUACCCUCCACAGUGGAAUCAGCGACUGGGGUGAAGUCGUAACAAGGUAACCGUA
rnacentral:rRNA from 1 species